GACGAACGCUGGCGGCGUGCUUAACACAUGCAAGUCGAACGGAAAGGCCCAGCUUUUGUGGGGUGCUCGAGUGGCGAACGGGUGAGUAACACGUGAGUAACCUGCCCUUGACUUUGGGAUAACUUCAGGAAACUGGGGCUAAUACCGGAUAGGAGCUCCUGCUGCAUGGUGGGGGUUGGAAAGUUUCGGCGGUUGGGGAUGGACUCGCGGCUUAUCAGCUUGUUGGUGGGGUAGUGGCUUACCAAGGCUUUGACGGGUAGCCGGCCUGAGAGGGUGACCGGCCACAUUGGGACUGAGAUACGGCCCAGACUCCUACGGGAGGCAGCAGUGGGGAAUAUUGCACAAUGGGCGGAAGCCUGAUGCAGCAACGCCGCGUGCGGGAUGACGGCCUUCGGGUUGUAAACCGCUUUCGCCUGUGACGAAGCGUGAGUGGCGGUAAUGGGUAAAGAAGCACCGGCUAACUACGUG
rnacentral:rRNA from 1 species